AAGCGCUUGUAACCAGACGUGCGCCGGGGUGUUCAGCGGGCGUUCUCGCCCGUGCACUCGCCUCGGCGCAGGCCAGCGUCGGUUCGAGCGGAGGGAUAAAGGCGUCUGGAAUGUGGCUCCUCCGGGAGUGUUAUAGCCAGGCGUGCCAUGCCUCCGCCCGGACCGAGGUACGCGUUCUGCAAGGACGCUGGCGUAAUGGUUCCCAGCGA
rnacentral:rRNA from 1 species